GGUGGCUUGGAGAUGAAAUGCUGCUUCCAGGAUGCACUCAAAUCUCUACGAGCACUACCUUUAUGCGGUUGUGAGGGUUGGUUGGCGGGGUGGUUCAACGAGCCAGUGGUGGCUUUGUGCAAAGGCCAAUCAUUUGCAUUCUGGGCGUGGAAGAUAAAACACCACAUCAAAGCCAAAAAGCCUCCUGUGAACCCGCCUGUGAGACGGCCACCGAUUGGCCGCGGACAGACGGAAACCAUGGCAACCAGCUGUUUUGACAAUUCCAGCCGCGAAGCGAGAGGCGGACGCGUGGAGGAGAAAUUGGCCUGCAGGUCCCGACGCCAACAUUGGGGAACCUACAGCGUGCGGGCCUUACGUAGCCCUCGAGUGAACAGCGGGGUCAGAUGAACAGAAAUGCCAUUAAAUCCGUUUAAAACUCAGCUGACAAAAAGCGGCACUUUGGCAGAUGGUAAUAAAGCCCCGCCCCCCCCGCCCCCCAAAAGAGGGGCUUCAA